GAUGAACGCUGGCGGCGUGCCUAAUACAUGCAAGUCGAGCGAACAGACGAGGAGCUUGCUCCUCUGACGUUAGCGGCGGACGGGUGAGUAACACGUGGAUAACCUACCUAUAAGACUGGGAUAACUUCGGGAAACCGGAGCUAAUCCCGGUAAAUAUAUUGAACCGCAUGGUUCAAUAGUGAAAGACGGUUUUGUUGUCACUUAUAGAUGGAUCCGCGCCGCAUUAGCUAGUUGGUAAGGUAACGGCUUACCAAGGCAACGAUGCGUAGCCGACCUGAGAGGGUGAUCGGCCACACUGGAACUGAGACACGGUCCAGACUCCUACGGGAGGCAGCAGUAGGGAAUCUUCCGCAAUGGGCGAAAGCCUGACGGAGCAACGCCGCGUGAGUGAUGAAGGUCUUCGGAUCGUAAAACUCUGUUAUUAGGGAAGAACAAAUGUGUAAGUAACUAUGCACGUCUUGACGGUACCUAAUCAGAAAGCCACGGCUAACUACGUG
rnacentral:rRNA from 1 species